rnacentral:rRNA from 1 species
CCCCUAGUAACUGCGAGUGAAGCGGGAAAAGCUCAAAUUUAAAAUCUGGCAGUCUUUGGCUGUCCGAGUUGUAAUCUAGAGAAGUAUUAUCCGCGCUGGACCGUGUACAAGUCUCCUGGAAUGGGGCGUCAUAGAGGGUGAGAAUCCCGUCUUUGACACGGACUGCCAGGGCUUUGUGAUGUGCUCUCAAAGAGUCGAGUUGUUUGGGAAUGCAGCUCAAAAUGGGUGGUAAAUUCCAUCUAAAGCUAAAUAUUGGCGAGAGACCGAUAGCGAACAAGUACCGUGAGGGAAAGAUGAAAAGAACUUUGGAAAGAGAGUUAAACAGUACGUGAAAUUGCUGAAAGGGAAACGCUUGAAGUCAGUCACGUUGGCCAGGGAUCAACCUUGCUUUUUUGCUUGGCUUACUUUCUGGUUGAUGGGUCAGCAUCAAUUUUGACUGGUGGAAAAAGUUCAAGGGAAUGUGGCAUCUUCGGAUGUGUUAUAGCCUUUGUUCGCAUACAUUGGUUGGGAUUGAGGAACUCAGCACGCCGCAAGGCCGGGUUUUUAACCACGUACGUGCUUAGGAUGCUGGCAUAAUGGCUUUAAUCGACCCGUCUUGAAACACGGACCAAGGAGUCUAACAUGCCUGCGAGUGUUUGGGUGAAAAACCCGAGCGCGUAAUGAAAGUGAAAGUUGAGAUCCCUGUCGUGGGGAGCAUUGACGCCCGGAUCUGACCUUUUGUGACGAUUCUGCGGUAGAGCAUGUAUGUUGGGACCCGAAAGAUGGUGAACUAUGCCUGAAUAGGGUGAAGCCAGAGGAAACUCUGGUGGAGGCUCGUAGCGAUUCUGACGUGCAAAUCGAUCGUCAAAUUUGGGUAUAGGGGCGAAAGACUAAUCU